GAUGAAGAACGUAGUGAAAUGCGAUAACUAGUGUGAAUUGCAGAAUUCCGUGAAUCAUCGAGUCUUUGAACGCACAUUGCGCCCCCUGGUAUUCCGGGGGGCAUGCCUGUCCGAGCGUCAUUGCUGCCCAUCAAGCACGGCUUGUGUGUUGGGUCGUCGUGCCCUCUCCGGGGGGGACGGGCCCCAAAGGCAGCGGCGGCACCGCGUCCGAUCCUCGAGCGUAUGGGGCUUUGUCACCCGCUCUGUAGGCCCGGCCGGCGCUUGCCGAACGCAAAUCAAUCUUUUUCCAGGUUGACCUCGGAUCAGGUAGGGAUACCCGCUGAACUUAAGCAUAUCAAUAGCGGAGGA
rnacentral:misc_RNA from 1 species